UACGGAGGGGGCUAGCGUUGUUCGGAAUUACUGGGCGUAAAGAGCUCGUAGGCGGCUUGUCGCGUCGACUGUGAAAACCCGCGGCUCAACCGCGGGCCUGCAGUCGAUACGGGCAGGCUAGAGUUCGGUAGGGGAGACUGGAAUUCCUGGUGUAGCGGUGAAAUGCGCAGAUAUCAGGAGGAACACCGAUGGCGAAGGCAGGUCUCUGGGCCGAUACUGACGCUGAGGAGCGAAAGCGUGGGGAGCGAACAGG
rnacentral:rRNA from 1 species